GAAAUGACUGGGUCCUCAGCAGGAAGGACGUUGCAAAACCAUGAUUUCUAGAUAAUGGAGAACACACACCUGGACCUGUUGUAAUGAAUUCUGUUUAUCACUCAAGAUCCUUGGCUUUGAGUUUGAUGCACUGACUGGAAGUGGUCUCAAGAUGGUCAAGCACUGGCGCCAACCAUCUGAGUCUCGUUACUAAGUAUACACUGAGGUCAGUGAGAUGUCAAUAUCAAUACCAAGUUCCUGUAACAAAGGAUUCUACAGAAAAACAAGUGAAGGGGAGGGGGAGGCUUCAAGAAUGAGGAGAGAAAUACCUGUUCACUUUAAAGUCAAAUGUUGCUGAAA